AUACUUUUAUAAACGUAUUUUGCGAGCAAAACAACCAUUGUGUAUUCACUUGUGACUAGUUCACUUGUGACUAGGGCUGCAAAUAGGUCGGAUUCGGAGUGACCCCGAUCCGACCUAGUUUCUUGUUCGGAUCCUAAUUUUGAACCCAGACCCGACUCGGUUGAAAAUCGAAUCGGAUCGGAUCGGAUCCAUGCCUACAAAUUUUGAUCCGACGGAUCAUUCGGAUUGGGUCGGAUCCGAGUCGGAUCCGGAUCUAUGUAUUUUUAUAUUCAAAGUUUUAUUAUAUAAUAGUAGCAAAAAAAAUGGGUCGGAUUGGGUCCGAAUUGAGAUUGGAUAGAUCCAAUCCGAUCCGAAAAAUAGAACGGAUCCAAAUUUAGGAUCCGAACCAACCCCGCGGAUCCUAAAAUUCGAAUCGGACCAGGUCUUACACGGGUCGGGUCGGAUCAUGGAUCGAUCUGACCCAUUUGCAGCCCUACUUAUGGUAGAACCCAUCCGAAGCUUUUUCGUAUACACAUCGCUGGCCAUUUCCACUAUUCGCGGACCAAAAUACCUCUCACCUUGUCAUCUCAAACUAUGAAAAAGGAGAGAGGAAGUGACAUGAAAAUAUAUGCUAUAUAUGAAAAAAAAUGUGGGGGAAAAAAAAGGAUAGCUUAAGUGGAGAGAGAGAGAGAGAG
rnacentral:lncRNA from 1 species